UAGGGAAUCUUCCACAAUGGACGCAAGUCUGAUGGAGCAACGCCGCGUGAGUGAAGAAGGUUUUCGGAUCGUAAAGCUCUGUUGUUGGUGAAGAAGGAUAGAGGCAGUAACUGGUCUUUAUUUGACGGUAAUCAACCAGAAAGUCACGGCUAACUACGUGCCAGCAGCCGCGGUAAUACGUAGGUGGCAAGCGUUGUCCGGAUUUAUUGGGCGUAAAGCGAGCGCAGGCGGAAUGAUAAGUCUGAUGUGAAAGCCCACGGCUCAACCGUGGAACUGCAUCGGAAACUGUCAUUCUUGAGUGCAGAAGAGGAGAGAGGAAUUCCAUGUGUAGCGGUGGAAUGCGUAGAUAUAUGGAAGAACACCAGUGGCGAAGGCGGCUCUCUGGUCUGCAACUGACGCUGAGGCUCGAAAGCAUGGGUAGCGAACAGG
rnacentral:rRNA from 1 species